UACGGAGGGGGCUAGCGUUGUUCGGAUUCAUUGGGCGUAAAGGGUGCGUAGGCGGGCUUGUAAGUCAGUGGUGAAAGCCCGGAGCUUAACUCCGGAACUGCCAUUGAUACUGCAAGUCUUGAGUACACUUGAGGUGGGCGGAAUACAUCAUGUAGUGGUGAAAUACUUAGAUAUGAUGUAGAACACCGAUUGCGAAGGCAGCUCACUAAAUUGUAACUGACGCUGAGGCACGAAAGCGUGGGGAUCAAACAGG
rnacentral:rRNA from 1 species